CUCGUACGGAGAGAAGUUAGUGCAGUGGCAUAUAUUGAUGAACUUCGUCCUCACGUAGAUGGUGGCGGUGUGUAAGGGGCAUCGGCACAUCGCUGAUAGGAGCUGACCAACUAUUGAAGAUAUUUUGAAAAAUUGUUAUAAUCACAUAUGGAAAAGUCUGAAGUAAAACCCAAUAUGAAAAAGCUCAGAUUUGUAGCGUUAUUCGUUCUUAUUUCACUUGCAUCUUCUGGCGAAGCAUAAAGAAUUUUGGAUAUAUUACCGAGGAGUUUUGAGAGUCGUCGUGCCGUUUUCGAAAGAUAGAUGACAGAACGUGGUCAUAAAGUGGAUGUGCUGGGUCAUUUUUCAAGCAUAACGUCAUCGAUGACUUGUUUGGCACUGUUCCUAAUCUAGCCAAUAAUUUGACACUGAAAAGUUAUUUUGCUCAUUUAAUUUGAAAUAACGUAUCAGUGUGAAAAAAUAUCGAGCUUACGUAGUUCUCAGCCUGAGGUUUCAUGAGCGUGUGUCGACACCUAUUAACAGAAGAACUAAUCAUUUGAACGUGAGUUACUGGUUAUGAAUGAUUAUUGCAGAUACAUGGUUCCCGUGGUAGGUUUAGGCACAAGUCUCAUGUAUCCACGGGCAAACGAUGUCGUAACAGACUCUGACAAUUAUAGCUCACAUACCUACUCAAUUCACUGCUACCUCUGAUCAGCAAAAUGAAUUUUUGGGAGAGGACCAGGAAUACUCUGAGUCGUUUGUUUGCAAAAUGGGAAUUCAAUCGAGUCAGCGAAGAAGAGAAUGACAUCAUAAGAAAAUACAUGGGUCCUCAAGCACCAAGUGUCAGGGAGGCUGAAAGGAACGUUUAGUUGAUUUUUGUCAAUGCGGUAACAAUGCAAGGGACGCCAUUGUGUGAGUUGAUGAAUCAUCCAAAUUUGAGGGACCCGGUUCAAUAUCCGCCAAUAAAUUCAUGAUAUUCGGCGCUAAUUACUUCUUGGCUUUCGGUCAACACAUGAAUGUCCCGGUCGUCGGGAUCCUUUCAUCCGUCAUGUAUCCAUGGGCGAACGACGUUAUCGCAAAUCCUGACAAUACAGCUUAUAUUCCCAAUGUGAUGUCGGACUUCGGUGCAGGGAUGAACUUUUG